rnacentral:rRNA from 1 species
GGUAGUCCACGCCGUAAACGAUGAGUGCUAGGUGUNGGAUCCUUUCCGGGAUUCAGUGCCGCAGCUAACGCAUUAAGCACUCCGCCUGGGGAGUACGACCGCAAGGUUGAAACUCAAAGGAAUUGACGGGGGCCCGCACAAGCGGUGGAGCAUGUGGUUUAAUUCGAAGCAACGCGAAGAACCUUACCAGGUCUUGACAUCCCGAUGCUAUUUCUAGAGAUAGGAAGUUACUUCGGUACAUCGGUGACAGGUGGUGCAUGGUNGUCGUCAGCUCGUGUCGUGAGAUGUUGGGUUAAGUNNNNCAACGAGCGCAACCCUUAUUGUUAGUUGCCAUCAUUCAGUUGGGCACUCUAGCAAGACUGCCGGUAAUAAACCGGAGGAAGGUGGGGAUGACGUCAAAUCAUCAUGCCCCUUAUGACCUGGGCUACACACGUGCUACAAUGGUUGGUACAACGAGUUGCGAGUCGGNGACGGCGAGCUAAUCUCUUAAAGCCAANCUCAGUUCGGAUUGUAGGCUGCAACUCGCCUACAUGAAGUCGGAAUCGCUAGUAAUCGCGGAUCAGCGCGCCGCGGUGAAUACGUUCCCGGGCCUUGU